UACGGAGGGGGCUAGCGUUGUUCGGAAUUACUGGGCGUAAAGCGCACGUAGGCGGCUUUGUAAGUUAGAGGUGAAAGCCCGGGGCUCAACUCCGGAAUUGCCUUUAAGACUGCAUCGCUAGAAUUGUGGAGAGGUAAGUGGAAUUCCGAGUGUAGAGGUGAAAUUCGUAGAUAUUCGGAAGAACACCAGUGGCGAAGGCGGCUCACUGGCCCCGAUUCUGACGCUGAGG
rnacentral:rRNA from 1 species